GUCUCCUGUGAAGAGAAAUCUGAAGAUGAAUCUAUAGACCCCCAUGUCUCCUGUGAAGAGAAAUCUGAAGAUGAAUCUAUAGAAAUAAGUGAUGAAUUGAUCAGAUUCGCGAACAGGGUCAUCACUGAUAGCUGGCCACAACUUUCACAGUUUUUAAAUAAGUUCAUUAAAUAUGACUGUGAGAAAUUUCUGAGCAUCUACUUCCCCCUGCUCUCGACCUUAAAGAUACACCAUGUCGACGUUGGCAAAAAGGUAAGUACCCCCUUUUCUUACUCCCUUCAGUAAGAGGCCCACAACAUAUUCUCUAAGGCAUACAUGAAGGAAUAGGGUAUAACUUACCACUAAGAAUGUUUGGUCCGGGUGCAAAUGUCCCAGACCUUCAUCAAAGGGGGG